rnacentral:rRNA from 1 species
GAUCCUGGCUCAGGAUGAACGCUGGCGGCGUGCCUAAUACAUGCAAGUGAAACGGGUAUCUUCGGAUACCAGUCGCGGACGGGUGAGUAAUACAUAGGCAACCUGCCUUUAUGAGGGGGAUAACCGAGGGAAACUUUGGCUAAUACCGCAUGAAGACUCUAAGGCAUCUUAGAGGGAUAAAAGUUGGGAAACAACGCAUGAAGAUGGGCUUAUGGCGCAUUAGCUAGUUGGUGAGAUAGAAGCCCACCAAGGUAAUGAUGCGUAGCCGACCUGAGAGGGUGAACGGCCACAUUGGGACUGAGACACGGCCCAAACUCCUACGGGAGGCAGCAGUAGGGAAUUUUCGGCAAUGGGGGGAACCCUGACCGAGCAACGCCGCGUGAAGGAAGAAGGUUUUCGGAUUGUAAACUUCUGUUAUAAGGGAAGAACGGAUUGGAUAGGGAAUGAUCUGAUAGUGACGGUACCUUAUUAGAAAGCCACGGCUAACUACGUGCCAGCCGCCGC